AUAUCUUUCACCAACUGUUCACCGCUUUCUUCAUACACCUGUCUUCCAUUCUCCGUGAGACCCGGAAGAGCUAGGUUGAAAUCCGUGAGCUGUGAUCUGGUAUUUUCUAGGCCAGCAGAUCCAUUUGCAUCAAAGGAAAUGUUUUCCUGAGCUUUCUCUAGUAUUUCCUUUAAAUACCUCCCUUGGGCCUCUAUUCGCAUCUGUAGCUUCUUCUGCACCUGA
rnacentral:rRNA from 1 species